CAUUUUUAAGGGUGAGAUACCUUUUUGUAUCUUAUGCCCCAAACAACAUUUGUUUCUCAUUCCACCCAAAAUAAUUGGUUAUACUUGAUUUGUCCAAGACGUUCGGCCUCAACAUACAAAGUUGGAUCCAAAGACCUUAAAAUAUAUCUUUUUGGUUAUUCUCGUGUUCUUUGAACAUUCCUCCUUUUAUUCCUCACCUUCUUUCUCUUCGAAUAUGAGUCGAGGGAGUAUCAAGAGUCAAAGGAUGAUUUCUUUAUCUACAAUGUUAUCUCUCCUUCUAAUCCUCUUUGUGGUUCAUCUUCACGUGUGUUUACUUCUAUUUGUCAACCCAUCACUGAAGUCUAUGAUCGACGACAACCUUCUUCAAUUCCAUGCCCUACCCCUAAGGCUUCUUCGUCAUUGGAUCCAGAAAUGAGUGAUGAUCUUCCUAUUGCUCUUCGUAAAGGUAAACUUAAGUGUGCUCAUCUUAUUUCCUCUUCUGUUUCAUAUAACCAUUAGUUGUCUUCUGCAUGUUCUUUCAUUGCAUCAUUAGAGUUUGUAUCAUUAAGCCUAUUCUCAUCUUGGUUGGUGUGUUGCAAUGGUGGAGGAGAUGAUUACUUUAGAUGAUAAUUGUACUUGGGAUUUAGUUUCUCUCCCUGCACGAAAAAAGUAUAUCAGUUGCAAAUGGGUGGUUACAAUUAAAGUUAAUCCUGAUGGUUUUGUCGCUCAAUUAAAAGUACACCUUGUAGUGAAAGGCUACGCACAAACAUGGCGUUAACUAUGCUGAUACUUUUUCUCGAGUAGUAAAAAUGACAUUUGUGAGGUUGUUUAUUUCACUAACUUCAACCAGUCACUGGCCUUUACAUCAGCUUGAUAUUUUUGAAAAGGAGGUGUAAUUAUGAGUCAAUAAAAAGGACCUGAUCAUGUUGAGGAAGGAGACCCAACCUUGUCUGGUUUCUCAUGAGUAGAUGGAUGAAGGAUUGUAUUCCAGAGAAGUUUCGAGCAACACACCUCAUAAACCAAUCAGAUGGGGUUCAGAAUUUGGAUAGCUUUGUUGUUUCGGUUUCAUCACUCGCAUAUUUGUUGAAAAACUUCCAGUUUGGUUCUUUUACAAGAACAUCUAUUGAAUCAAUGAACCACUCUAAUUGGAUCUUGGAUAAAGUGAGGAUUUUUUGGAAGUCUA
rnacentral:lncRNA from 1 species